CCUACGGGAGGCAGCAGUGAGGAAUAUUGGUCAAUGGGCGGGAGCCUGAACCAGCCAAGUCGCGUGAGGGAAGACGGUCCUAUGGAUUGUAAACCUCUUUUGUCGGGGAGCAAUGCCGGGCACGUGUGCCCGGAGGGAGAGUACCCGCAGAAUAAGCAUCGACUAACCCCGUGCCAGCAGCCGCGGUAAUACGGAGGAUGCGAGCGUUAUCCGGAUUUAUGGGGUUUAAAGGGUGCGUAGGCGGAUUUUUAAGUCAGCGGUAAAAUGUCGGGGCUCAACCCGGGCCGGCCGUUGAAACUGGGGAUCUUGAGUGGGCGAGAAGUAUGCGGAAUGCGUGGUGUAGCGGUGAAAUGCAUAGAUAUCACGCAGAACUCCGAUUGCGAAGGCAGCAUACCGGCGCCCGACUGACGCUGAGGCACGAAAGCGUGGGGAUCGAACAGGAUUAGAUACCCCUGUAGUC
rnacentral:rRNA from 1 species